AACGAACGCUGGCGGCAUGCCUAACACAUGCAAGUCGAACGAGACCUUCGGGUCUAGUGGCGCACGGGUGCGUAACGCGUGGGAACCUGCCCUUAGGUUCGGAAUACCUCCCCGAAAGGGGUGCUAAUACCGGUUAAUGUCUUCGGACCAAAGAUUUAUCGCCUUUGGAUGGGCCCGCGUUGGAUUAGCUAGUUGGUAGGGUAAAAGCCUACCAAGGCGACGAUCCAUAGCUGGUCUGAGAGGAUGAUCAGCCACACUGGGACUGAGACACGGCCCAGACUCCUACGGGAGGGAGCAGUGGGGAAUAUUGGACAAUGGGCGAAAGCCUGAUCCAGCAAUGCCGCGUGAGUGAUGAAGGCCUUAGGGUUGUAAAGCUCUUUUACCCGGGAUGAUAAUGACAGUACCGGGAGAAUAAGCUCCGGCUAACUCCGUG
rnacentral:rRNA from 1 species